ACGGGUGAGUAACGCGUAUGCAACUUGCCUAUCAGAGGGGGAUAACCCGGCGAAAGUCGGACUAAUACCGCAUGAAGCAGGGAUCCCGCAUGGGAAUAUUUGCUAAAGAUUCAUCGCUGAUAGAUAGGCAUGCGUUCCAUUAGGCAGUUGGCGGGGUAACGGCCCACCAAGACAUCGAUGGAUAGGGGUUCUGAGAGGAAGGUCCCCCACAUUGGAACUGAGACACGGUCCAA
rnacentral:rRNA from 1 species